rnacentral:lncRNA from 1 species
UUAUGAUCCGUAGGAAUAAGAAGAUUAUAAAUUAAACUUGAAACUUUUUACAGUGACCCGUAUUCAAUUCAAAUUCCCAAAGAAAAGACAAUGAAAUAAAACAUUAAAACAAGAAAAACAUCAAAUGAAACUGCAUGGAUUCACAUAUUUCAUCAAAUGGAACAUGAAAUUAAAACCCAUUAAACGAAGACGCAUUUUACAUGCGUGUGUCAUUUCUAUCGUUGUCUGACAAUCACAUUACUUGACUAGAGGUAGUGUCAAAGGAAGAAGACGAGAGAGGAGGAUAAUAGAUGGCUAAGUAAACAAGCAUUAGCAUCAGCACCACCGGAAUUCCCAUCAGAAUCAUCGGCGGCGGCGGAAGUGGCGGAAGAACGGCAGGAACAACCGCCAAGAGCACCAUCAUCACCAAUCCGAUCAUAAACAUUCCGAUGAUCCUUACUAUAACUUUUGUGAAACUUCUUUUUUUUUGUGAAACUUCUUUUCUUCCUCUAAAUCUUGGCUUUCAAUGUUCCUGCACAUAUAUGUUUGUAUAUUUAUAAUGAAUUCUAUGUGUAAGUAUUUAAUCUGUCCGUAUUGCUUUUAUGUGUGUGAGAGAGAAAGACGUUACAAAAUACAGGUGAAGAUCAUGCACCGAGCAGCAACAUUCGCCAAUUCGUAUCCACCCAAAUAAAAAAAUUUCUUCCACAAAAAAUAAUUUUUUUAAGUUUUC